GACGAACGUUGGCGGCGCGCUUAAUGCAUGCAAGUCGAACGAGAACUGUUGAGUUCGUAAGAACCCGACAGGGACAGUGGCGAACGGGUGCGUAACACGUGAGGAACCUGCCCUGGAGACCGGGAUAGCCCGAGGAAACUCGGAUUAAUACCGGAUACCUUCUCGAGAUCGCAUGAUCUCUUGAAGAAAGGUCCGCUGCUCCAGGAUGGCCUCGCGGCCUAUCAGCUUGUUGGUGAGGUAACGGCUCACCAAGGCAGCGACGGGUAGCUGGUCUGAGAGGACGAUCAGCCACACUGGGACUGAGACACGGCCCAGACUUCUACGGAAGGCAGCAGCAGGGAAUAUUGCACAAUGGGCGAAAGCCUGAUGCAGCGACGCCGCGUGCGGGAUGAAGGCCUUUCGGGUUGUAAACCGCUUUCAGGAGGGACGAAAUUGACGGUACCUCCAGAAGAAGGCCCGGCCAACUACGUGCCAGCAGCCGCGGUAA
rnacentral:rRNA from 1 species